UGGGGAAUAUUGGACAAUGGAGGCAACUCUGAUCCAGCAAUUCUGUGUGUGUGAAGAAGGUUUUAGGACUGUAAAACACUUUUAGUAGGGAAGAAAAAAAUGACGGUACCUACAGAAGAAGCGUCGGCUAAAUACGUGCCAGCAGCCGCGGUAAUACGUAUGUCGCGAGCGUUAUCCGGAAUUAUUGGGCUUAAAGGGCAUCUAGGCGGUUAAACAAGUUGAAGGUGAAAACCUGUGGCUCAACCAUAGGCUUGCCUACAAAACUGUAUAACUAGAGUACUGGAAAGGUGGGUGGAACUACACGAGUAGAGGUGAAAUUCGUAGAUAUGUGUAGGAAUGCCGAUGAUGAAGAUAACUCACUGGACAGCAACUGACGCUGAAGUGCGAAAGCUAGGGGAGCAAACAGG
rnacentral:rRNA from 1 species